UUUCUCGCAUCGAUGAAGAACGCAGCGAAAUGCGAUAAGUAGUGUGAAUUGCAGAAUUCAGUGAAUCAUCGAAUCUUUGAACGCACAUUGCGCCCCUUGGUAUUCCAUGGGGCAUGCCUGUUUGAGCGUCAUUUGUACCCUCAAGCUCUGCUUGGUGUUGGGUGUUUGUCCACUAUCGUGGACUCGCCUUAAAGUCAUUGGCAGCCAGUGUUUUGGUAUUGAAGCGCAGCACAUUUUGCGCCUCUAGCCUAGAACACUAGCGUCCAGUAAGCCUUUUUCCACUUUUGACCUCGGAUCAGGUAGGGAUACCCGCUGAACUUAAGCAUAUCAAUAAGCGGAGGA
rnacentral:rRNA from 1 species